rnacentral:rRNA from 1 species
GACGAACGCUGGCGGCGUGCCUAAUACAUGCAAGUAGAACGCACAGUUUAUACCGUAGCUUGCUACACCAUAAACUGUGAGUUGCGAACGGGUGAGUAACGCGUAGGUAACCUGCCUGGUAGCGGGGGAUAACUAUUGGAAACGAUAGCUAAUACCGCAUAAUAUUGAUUAUUGCAUGAUAAUUGAUUGAAAGAUGCUAUUGCAUCACUACCAGAUGGACCUGCGUUGUAUUAGCUAGUAGGUGAGGUAACGGCUCACCUAGGCGACGAUACAUAGCCGACCUGAGAGGGUGAUCGGCCACACUGGGACUGAGACACGGCCCAGACUCCUACGGGAGGCAGCAGUAGGGAAUCUUCGGCAAUGGACGAAAGUCUGACCGAGCAACGCCGCGUGAGUGGAGAAGGUUUUCGGAUCGUAAAGCUCUGUUGUAAGAGAAGAACGGGUGUGAGAGUGGAAAGUUCACACUGUGACGGUAUCUUACCAGAAAGGGACGGCUAACUACGUG